GCCGCCUGGGCUUCCGUUGUUGCCUAGGAGACAGGACCCGUCCCGCUCCCACUCGGGCGCCCAGAGCCUUGAGCCAGUGGAACGAGGGCCUCCAUCCGCACCUGCUGCGUGAGCCAAAGCGUAUUCUUCGUUUUGCCACAAAUAGAACAUGAAGCCUGUGACUCGGCUGACAGAAUAGUGUACGGAUGAAUGGGACAGAAUAGCACGACGGUGACGUUUGCAGACUCCGGAGUCUCACUGCAGAUUGCCUGAAGAAAAGCCAAAGAAAUUGUCUUAAUUGCUCCUGAGGGCAAUGAUGGAUGAAGGAAAGACAGAACCUCAGCUUUAACGUGCACACAGUUCCAAAGUCACAAACAUUGAAACAGACGAGGGAAAAAACAAAACCAGCCCAAGUAAUGAAUCUCUUCAAGAGUAUAAGGGACUGGAGCAAUUUCCUAGGAAACUCACAAUAGAG